AUUGAACGCUGGCGGCAUGCUUUACACAUGCAAGUCGAACGGUAACAGGCCGCAAGGUGCUGACGAGUGGCGAACGGGUGAGUAAUGCAUCGGAACGUGCCCAGUCGUGGGGGAUAACUACUCGAAAGAGUAGCUAAUACCGCAUACGAUCUAUGGAUGAAAGCGGGGGACCGUAAGGCCUCGCGCGAUUGGAGCGGCCGAUGUCAGAUUAGGUAGUUGGUGGGGUAAAGGCUCACCAAGCCAACGAUCUGUAGCUGGUCUGAGAGGACGACCAGCCACACUGGGACUGAGACACGGCCCAGACUCCGACGGGAGGCAGCAGUGGGGAAUUUUGGACGAUGGGCGCAAGCCUGAUCCAGCAAUGCCGCGUGCAGGAAGAAGGCCUUCGGGUUGGAGACUGCUUUUGUACGGAACGAAACGGCUCUGGUUAAUACCCGGGGCUAAUGACGGUACCGGAAGAAUAAGCACCGGCUAACUACGUG
rnacentral:rRNA from 1 species